UAUAAUAUGCCAAAAUCAUUUAAGCGCGUGGUACCUUACCAUAUUUCGUAUUCUACUUAAGUACAUCGUACCUUACGGUGUUCUAUAAUUCACUUAAGUGCACUGUACCUUACGGUGUUCCUUAGUUACUCUAUCUCUCAUCAAUCCGUCCUUUGUGUGUGACCCUGUAGGUUUUCGCGGCAUUGGCAAUUAUAUUAAAUAACGUAUUUAACAUAAUAAACAGUGAGCGGUAUCUAGCAACACAUCACU
rnacentral:lncRNA from 1 species